UACAGAGGUCUCGAGCGUUGUUCGGAUUCAUUGGGCGUAAAGGGCGCGUAGGCGGCGGGGUAAGUCUGGUGUGAAAUCUAGGAGCUCAACUCCUAAACUGCACUGGAUACUGCUCUGCUGGAGGACUGGAGAGGAGACUGGAAUUCACGGUGUAGCAGUGAAAUGCGUAGAUAUCAGGAGGAACACCGAUGGCGAAGGCAGCUCACUGGGACGGUACUGACGCUGAGGCGCGAAAGCGUGGGGAGCAAACAGG
rnacentral:rRNA from 1 species